rnacentral:rRNA from 1 species
GUGAGGAAUUUUCCGCAAUGGGCGAAAGCCUGACGGAGCAAUGCCGCGUGAAGGAUGAAGGCCUAUGGGUUGUAAACUUCUUUUCUCAGAAAAGAAUUAUGACGGUAUCUGAGGAAUAAGCAUCGGCUAACUCUGUGCCAGCAGCCGCGGUAAGACAGAGGAUGCAAGCGUUAUCCGGAAUGAUUGGGCGUAAAGCGUCUGUAGGUUGUUUAAAAAGUAUUCUGUCAAAGAUUAGGGCUUAACCCUAGAUAGGCAGAAUAAACUUUUAAGCUAGAGUUUGGUAGAAGCGGAGGGAAUUCCCGGUGGAGCGGUGAAAUGCGUAGAUAUCGGGAGGAACACCAAAGGCGAAGGCACUCUGCUGGGCCAAUACUAACACUGAGAGACGAAAGCGAGGGGAGCAAAUGGGAUUAGAUACCCUUGUAGUCC